GUCUCCCCUUUUCUCUGGGUCAUUCUGUUCCGAUAAGGCCGAGGGAGAGGGCUAGAGCGGCGGAGGAGAGAGGCGAUUCUUCUGUUCAAGGUGGCUCCUCAUGAUUUUUCCGUGGUAUCUGAGGUCUGUCUGAAUGUGUUUUUCGAGGAACCUCUCUGAAUUUCAUGCUUCAUUGUUUUUUACCCCCCCACCCACUCCCACCCCCACCCCCACCCCCAGACUUGUAAUGUACCUCAGAAAUGCAGUGUAUCUUAUCCCCCAGAUUUUCAGUGUAACUGCUGUGUAAUUUACUGCGUAAUAUGUUGUAUCUUCACGAUGUCCCUGAACUUACAGUGUAAUACUCCCUUAUUUGAGUGUGUUUUGUCCUCGUAGUACUA